rnacentral:tRNA from 1 species
GCCUCACUAGUUCAGUCUGUAGCACAUGAGACUCCUGAUCUCAGGGUCAUGAGUUCAAGCCCCACGUUGGGUA